AAAGGGAACAGCACACAAGCUACCUGUUGCCCUUCGGAUUGAUGGCUUGAAAGAAGGAAAUACAGAUGAAAUCUCUCCGUGACUGAAGCAGCAGUGACAAGGGAACACCAGGGAAGUCUGUCUGUUUCAAGAAAAAUGGAAGAAAGCAUUGAUACUUUUGGAAGUGAAGAACAUUCCUUUCUGUGUGAUUGAUUUGCAAACGCCCCACCCACUCCACUCAUUCAUAUCACUUGCCAGCCACAGCAGCGAGAUGGGGGAACAACAAGAUGCCUGUUGCCUGGUCUCCUCCAACUUUCUCACCCUCUCUGAAGUCCCGCCACCUGUUUGUCAGCCCCGGACAGCACAGGGGAGCCUUACAUGGGAGAGAGCGUGCCACGGAAAUGCAGUUUCGGGAUUUGGUUCCUCCCUUCUGCUCUGAGAUGAUGCCUGAUGGCUGAGGAUAGAAGGUGUAGUGUCUGGCAAGCUCCUUUCACACGCGGAAUUGACCUCACACCGCGGGGGGCGGGGGAAUCUGUUCACUCACCCCAAACAACAACA